CCUAAGGAAUUUAGAAGCCCAAAUCCCAUUGACUUUUAUACUCUGCCUUAAUCAGUCACACAGCUUUGUCUAUAAAGCCUCAAUUCCUUAGCUUGGUAUUUCUAGCCAGAAACACUUCUUUUGUAACUUGCUUGUGUCACCUUUUUGAUUUGUUUUUUAGAUUGAGUCAAGUCAUCAUAGAAAAUUCAGUGGACACAACUUGAAAAGUAAAGACUGUUCUUCUUCCUUACUGAAAAGGAUAUUACAUGAAGUCGUUUUUCCAGUGUUGUCAGCACCUGGUUGGAACACAGAUGUGUGAAAGCUGUCUCCUUAACAGCAGCAAACCUUACUGGGAAACAGAAGGAAUGAUCUACCUCUCCUUUCCUCUUCUAUGAAGAAACCUGGGUAUUAGAGCCCUAACUGGUCAGUG
rnacentral:lncRNA from 1 species